rnacentral:lncRNA from 1 species
GGAGCAGCGCGGAGGGGCGCGGAGGGGCUCGCAGCGGGAGCGCGGCGGCCGCCGCAGCCCUGCGCAGCCCCGGGGGCCGCCUCGGAGGGAAAGACCCCCCACGAUCCCCCCGAAACCGGCAGAGAGCUGCUCAUCCUAAAAGCCACCCUCUGGGAAGGGACCACCCGGGCACAUGGCACAGCCCUGAGGGAAUCGCAUUUGAGCUGGCUGGAGAUGCCAGCUCUGUGGCCGGAGAUGCCAGUCCUGCGGCUGUUCCCAAAGGCAGCGAGCGCCGGCUUUCCAGAAGGACCCUCACUGCUUGCUGAGGGUUUCCUGGGUUUAUCAAAGCUCCUUCUAUACUGGGGAGAAUAAGGGUGGUUUGUUCAGCAGCAUCCUGGUCACACAAACCGCCAGCGAGCACGAGGGAUCCUUCUGUUAAUGAGCUGAGCAAAAAAGGGAGAGAAAUGUCAUUGAAGGUUUUUCCUUUGGUGAUAGAGAGUCAUGAAAAACAACACAUGAUUCCCAGGUCAUGAAAAACAACACAUGAUCCCGGGAUCUCUUCCAGCCAAAACACAGCCGGGAUCUGUGCCGCUGUUCCCACCGCCCCAUCCCCUGACUCCUCAGCUGGAGAUCAAGGCAGGCAUCGCUGCUCCCAGGCAGCCCCAGCACAGGAGCCACGCACAGAGCCACCAAAGGACGACAGAGGAGGAUCACAUGUAGUUUCAUCCACACCUUUCUCACCCUUUUCUCCCUUCAGCUUAUUGAGGCAUUGCGUUUGCAUGGAUUCUGUUUGUAUCCAAAGCAGAGACAGAACUAAAAGGUGGUUGUGGUGGUGGUGCUGGGGCUGGCAGCAGCUUCUAUGGGAUGGGAAGGACCUGAUGAAGUGGCCCUUGGCUCCAUGAGCAUCACUGAGAAAUCAAACCCCACAUCAACUAAAACCCAAGGAAAAGUAUCUGAAAACCCACGUGCCAAUUCACACUGUUUGCUAGUUGCAUACCUGUUAAGAAACAUCAUUUAAAUAAAAAAAAUUGUAAGGAUCCUGCUUGUUUUAAGCCAAACCCGCAGCAGGAUGAGCUUUUUAUACUAACCCCAAGGUAACAAGGCCGUUGCACUUAUGGCAUCCUCCUAAGCAGGCUUCUGUUGAAGGUUGGUGUUGCAGAGCCCAGCCUUCAGAGGCGUUUGUGAUUUAGAGGCAAUUUAGUCAAGUGCUGUUCCUAGAGCUGAAACAUUCUGCAGUAGAAAAGGAGGAAAAAAAAAAUCCUGUGGCAUUUACUAAUAAAACUCUUUAG